rnacentral:rRNA from 12 species
CACCAGGUUGAUUCUGCCUGACGUGGACGCUAGCCUCGGGGAUUAAGCCAUGCAAGUCUGUGAAGUUUCUUAUAUGAAACAGUGUACGGCUCAGUAAAACACGUCAAUCUACCCACUUAUCUAAUAUAACCACGGGAAACUGUGGCUAAUAUUGUGGAUGAGGGCGUGACCUAUCAGCUAGUCGGUACGGUAAAGGCGUACGGAGGCGAUGACGGGUAACGGGGAAUAUGGGUUUUAUUCCGGAGAGGGAGCCUGAGAGAUGGCUACCACGUCCAAGGACGGCAGCAGGCGCGAAACUUACCCAAUGAACAUUGAGGUAGUUACGGGGUGUGACAUUCUAUGAACCGUGUCUUAAAAGCAGGGUUAAGACAUUGGAGGGCAAGUUUGGUGCCAGCAGCCGCGGUAAUUCCAGCUCCAAUAGCGUCUGUGUUUAUUGCUGCGGUUAAAACGUCGUAGUCUGGUCUAUGGCUUGAGUGUAAUCCGUGCUUUUCUAGUACGGGUUAUUUCAGGAACCUAGACCUUGAGACGGGGAUGUGGUAAUGUUAUUUGGUAGCGAGAGGUGAAAUUCGAUGACCUACCAAGGAGCAACAGAGGCGAAAGCGAUUACCAGGAACCGAUCUGACGAUCAAGCACGUGAGCAGGAUUAUCGAAGAGGAUUAGAGACCCACGUAGUUCCUUGCAGUAAACGAUGCCUACAGCGUGGUGUUUUAUAGCAUUACGCAAGCGAAAGCUAGUGUAUGGGCUCCGGGGAUAGUACGGACGCAAGUUUGAAACUUGAAGAAAUUGACGGAAGGACACCACAAGGAGUGGAGUGUCGGGUUAAUUUGACUCAACGCGGGAAACCUUACCCGGGCAAGUAAUAGUCGUGAGAUGUAUGUGGCAGAAGCAUUACGCGUGGUGCAUGGCCGUUCUUAACACGUGGAGUGAUCUGUCUGGUUAAAUCCGGUAACGUGUGAGAGGUUGAGCCCGAUGAACUAGUUUGCGAGAGCUAGCUAGUUGGGGACUGCAUGUGUGAACAUGAGGAAGUAACGCCCGAUAACAGGUCUUGUGAUGCCCGUAGAUGUCCGGGGCUCCACGCGCACUACAAUGAGGUGAGGUUUAUCUUGUGUUUAACACCUCGUAGUUGGGAUUGAUGCUUGUAAUAGUGUCAUGAACGUGGAAUUCCUAGUAGUUGGUAGUCACUAACGACCAGCGAAUGCGUCCCUGUUCUUUGUACACACCGCCCGUCGUUAUCUAAGAUGGAAGUCGGGUGAAGACACGAUGGCAGUAGACUAGGCGGGUUAAACCGCUUAGUUUAUAGUGUAAAAACGGGCCUUAGUGGAAGAAUCCGUGCACGUAAAUUGGAUGUNNNNNNNNNNNNNNNNNNNNNNNNNNNNNNNNNNNNNNNNNNNNNN